rnacentral:sRNA from 1 species
CCGGGCGCAGCUAGCGUGGGGGGAAGAGCGCCGCCCCCACCCAGCCCGGCCCGGACCCAGGGCCCCGCCGGCCGGUGACUCCCAGGUCCCGAAGGUGGGGCCCAGGCCUGGGUUGCCAUGGAUACCGUGUCCCUGGAGCAUCAGAUCCAGAGCGUGCAACGCCACAUCAGCUUCCUGAAAAAGGAGCAGAUGGCCCUGCUGCGAGACCUGCACCUGGAGAUCCUGAGGCUGCAGAAACGCUGCUCAGAACUGACCCAUGACCUGGAAAUGAGAGAGGCCCAAUCUCACCAGCAAGAGGCGGCGUCCCGGGAGCUGGAGAGCAAGUGCCGCGCGCUGGAGUCGCAGCUGGAGGCGCGUGCUGCGGCCAACGCGGAGCUGCGGCAGGAGGUGGCGCAGCGCGAGGCGCUGGUGUCCGCGCUGCGCUGCAGCCUGCGCACCGAGGAGCGCCGCUUCCUGGAGGAGCUGCGCCGCCGCAGCCACCGCGCCACCGUGCUGGGCACCGAGCUGCAGAAGCACACCGAGGCGGCCGCCUACCUCUCCUGCCAGCUGCACGCGGCGCGCCAGAGACUGCAGGCCCCGCGCCCGGGCCCCGGCGCCACCGCCGAGCCCAGGCCACGCCGCCGCGCACUGCGAGCCCGCCGCCCGCCUGCUGCCCACGAGGCCGCCGCCAAGGGCCCCGGCCGGGACUGGGCCGCCUGGGACCGCGGGGCCGGCGCCCUCGACGACGCCGACCCCAUGCCCGACCCCGCGCUCUUCCUCUAUGCACGCAGGCCGCUGCGGCCCAGCGCCCGCAGCCCGCGCCAGCCGCCUCCCCAGGAGCCCCCGGACCGAGCCGGCCCGCAGCCCGCGCCCAGCCAGCCCAGCGCGCCCGGCGACCCGGAGUAG